rnacentral:rRNA from 1 species
GAUGAACGCUGGCGGCGUGCCUAAUACAUGCAAGUCGAGCGAACAGACGAGGAGCUUGCUCCUUUGACGUUAGCGGCGGACGGGUGAGUAACACGUGGGUAACCUACCUAUAAGACUGGGAUAACUUCGGGAAACCGGAGCUAAUACCGGAUAAUUUUUCGAACCGCAUGGUUCGAUAGUGAAAGAUGGCUCUGCUAUCACUUAUAGAUGGACCUGCGCCGUAUUAGCUAGUUGGUAAGGUAACGGCUUACCAAGGCAACGAUACGUAGCCGACCUGAGAGGGUGAUCGGCCACACUGGAACUGAGACACGGUCCAGACUCCUACGGGAGGCAGCAGUAGGGAAUCUUCCGCAAUGGGCGAAAGCCUGACGGAGCAACGCCGCGUGAGUGAUGAAGGUCUUCGGAUCGUAAAACUCUGUUAUUAGGGAAGAACAAACGUGUAAGUAACUGUGCACGUCUUGACGGUACCUAAUCAGAAAGCCACGGCUAACUACGUG